rnacentral:rRNA from 1 species
GACGAACGCUGGCGGCGUGCUUAACACAUGCAAGUCGAGCGGUAAGGCCCUUUCGGGGGUACACGAGCGGCGAACGGGUGAGUAACACGUGGGUGACCUGCCCUCAGCUCUGGGGAUAAGCCUGGGAAACUGGGUCUAAUACUGGAUAUGACUCCACGGUGCAUGUCGUGGGGUGGAAAGCCUUGUGCGGCUGAGGAUGGGCCCGCGGCCUAUCAGCUUGUUGGUGGGGUAACGGCCCACCAAGGCAUUGACGGGUAGCCGGCCUGAGAGGGUGACCGGCCACACUGGGACUGAGACACGGCCCAGACUCCUACGGGAGGCAGCA